CACAGAGUUAGCCGGUGCUUAUUCUGCGAGUAACGUCCACUAUCUCUAGGUAUUAACUAAAGUAGCCUCCUCCUCGCUUAAAGUGCUUUACAACCAUAAGGCCUUCUUCACACACGCGGCAUGGCUGGAUCAGGCUUGCGCCCAUUGUCCAAUAUUCCCCA
rnacentral:rRNA from 2 species